rnacentral:rRNA from 1 species
UAGGGAAUCUUCGGCAAUGGACGAAAGUCUGACCGAGCAACGCCGCGUGAGUGAAGAAGGUUUUCGGAUCGUAAAACUCUGUUGGGUAGAGAAGAACGUUGGUGAGAGUGGAAAGCUCAUCAAGUGACGGUAACUACCCAGAAAGGGACGGCUAACUACGUGCCAG